rnacentral:rRNA from 1 species
UACGUAGGGGGCGAGCGUUGUCCGGAUUCAUUGGGCGUAAAGCGCGCGUAGGCGGCUCGACAAGUCGGCCGUGAAAUCUCCAGGCUCAACUUGGAGGGGUCGGGCGAGACUGUCGGGCUCGAGGUGGGCAGAGGGCAGUGGAAUUCCGGGUGUAGUGGUGGGAAUGCGUAGAUAUCAGGAGGAACACCGGUGGCGAAGGCGGCUACCUGGACCGAUACUGACGCUGAUACACGAAAGCGUGGGGAGCAAACAGG